CCUACGGGUGGCAGCAGUGGGGAAUAUUGGGCAAUGGGCGCAAGCCUGACCCAGCAACGCCGCGUGAAGGAAGAAGGCUUUCGGGUUGUAAACUUCUUUUCUCAGGGACGAAGAAAGUGACGGUACCUGAGGAAUAAGCCACGGCUAACUACGUGCCAGCAGCCGCGGUAAUACGUAGGUGGCAAGCGUUAUCCGGAUUUAUUGGGUGUAAAGGGCGUGUAGGCGGGAGCGCAAGUCAGAUGUGAAAACUCAGGGCUCAACCCUGAGCCUGCAUUUGAAACUGGCGGGCUGGAGUUGGAGAGAAGUACGCGGAAUGCGCGGUGUAGCGGUGAAAUGCUUAGAUAUCGCGCAGAACCCCGAUUGCGAAGGCAGCGUACCGGCUCCACACUGACGCUGAGGCACGAAAGCGUGGGUAUCGAACAGGAUUAGAUACCCCUGUAGUC
rnacentral:rRNA from 1 species